rnacentral:tRNA from 1 species
UGCGGUGUGGCCCAAUGGUAAGGCUGCUCCCUGUUAAGGAGACGAAUGCAGGUUCGAGUCCUGCCACCGCAG